rnacentral:rRNA from 1 species
AUUGAACGCUGGCGGCAGGCUUAACACAUGCAAGUCGAACGAGUGGCGGACGGGUGAGUAAUGCUUGGGAAUCUAGCUUAUGGAGGGGGAUGAAUACGGGAACCUGUAUCUAAUACCGCGUACCAUAGGAUGAGCCCAAGUGGGAUUAGGUAGUUGGUGAGGUAAAGGCUCACCAAGCCGACGAUCUCUAGCUGGUGUGAGAGGAUUACCAGUCAAACGGGGACUGAGCAACGGCCCAGAGUCCGACGGGAGGCAGCGUGGGGGAAUAUUGCGGAGUGGGGGAAACCUGACGCUGCUCUGCCGCGUGAAUGAACAAGGCGUUCGCGUUGGAAAGUUUUUGCGGGAGAAAGGCCUUAACGACAGAAGAAGUCCAGGGUAACUCCGUGCCAGCAGCCGCGGUAAUAC